UGCUCUAGCACUCGGCAGACACACCCUUGCAAAGAUAGCUGACAUUUUUUCAGCACUGGCCGUCAUGCUUCAAUGGAUGCCUGCCUCUGUGAUAAAGUGAAGAUGCAGAGUCCUAUCUUGAGGUGGAAGCUGAUACCUGUGGCAGUACAGCCACUGUAGGGGUCCGGGCAAGGCUGAAGAUGUGACACCAUCUAGCAUGGAAUAAAGACCAAGGAUUUGAAAGUGGCCAACAACAGCACUGGAGGCAAACAGCACUCUUGGCAAGGCUCCUGUUGUGUCUCCCAGCUCUGAAAUUGGACAGUGUUCUUGGCAUGGUACGCUCAUUCAGACCCACACAUUUAGUUAGGCAUGGCCAGCAGAGGAGAGGUCGAUGACAGAGGACAAGUUCCAAAGAAACAAGAUUGAUGACUCCUCCUGAGAAAGUGCACCAAAGAGCUGAAGCCUGAAAAGACUGCAGAAAUUGCCCCCCUUCCUCUCGCUCACCACCAUCCAGCCUCCUUCCCUUGAGGACACUUGCUCUGUCAGCAAUGCUUCAGAGAAGAUGGCAGAAUUGCUCUUUGCCUGAGGUUGGUAUGCUGAAUUUAAGUUCCAGAAAAGUUGCAAGGAUUCCCAAAGGGAAAGGCUUGAAGUUCCUUCUUGCACUCAAGAGACAAUGUUUUUUGUUGUUGUUGUUGUUGUUGUUGUUGAAAUAUCACAUUAGAUUAACACAAUGGUGAAAAGAACUGUAUAUUUUCUUGCCCAGCUCUUGCCCAGCCUGCUACAUAUAUCAUCUCAGUUUGGUUUCUUUCUUGUUUGUGUAUUUUUUUCCCCCUGUAGUUAAUUUUCUGCCUCUCAUGAGCUUAGAGAAAGGAUAGCGAUCCACCCCAGCUCAAACCAAGUACCUGGGAAAGCACCAUCCAGUUCAUCUGACUCAUUGUAUCAACCCUAAAGAUUUAUUGUUUUUAACCUACAAAUCUCAAGACACUGUACAGGAGAUCUGCAAAAGAGGCAGUUCCUGGACUGGCCUCUCAUCCAGCGAGCCAGCAAGCAGCAGUUCUCAUAUGUGGGCAGCAGCAGUGCAGCAGCCUCAGUUCCUCUUUCCUUUUCUGCAGCAAUCAGAAGCCUUUACCAAAAACCACCAGUGCAUCAGCCCUACCCACCUACAGCCCCGAGCUGCUGGAAAAUGGAAGCAAAAGCAGCUCUCAGAUGAUGAAAUUUCAGCUGUCGCUCUCAGACAGUUGGAUGAGGUUAACAGAAACAGUCCUUAGAAGUAUGCAGAGAGCUAUCUCAUAUCAAUUAAGCACGCUGUUAAAAAUUAGAAAAACUACCAACUCGUCAUCAAGAUGCUGCUCAGAGCUGUGAUUUGACUUCUGCAUUUCUUAAGCACAGAUGAUUAAAUUGAAGACUAAAUAUGAAGUAAGGACUGCUCGCAGUUUAACAACCUUUUCUUUCUUUCUUUUUUUUUUUAAGUAGAAUAUGAUAGGUCUGAAAUGCUCUGUUCAAAGAAAAUAAGGUCAUUUGAAAUUGCUCGAUCUGUCAAUCUGGAG
ensembl:lncRNA